GCCGGGAUAGCUCAGCUGGGAGAGCAACAGACUGAAGCGAAUUGCUUUCUGGAGGUCCCGUGUUCAAUCCACGGUCCUGGCA